rnacentral:lncRNA from 1 species
CUCAAACUCAAUCAUCUUCAGUUCUCUAGAACUGUCUGGAAAAGCCCAUCCAGCGAACUCAUUUGCAAAUUCCUCCCAUGUCAUGCCGUCUAGUCUUGGGUCCACAUAACACUUGAACCAUUCCCGUGCCUUUUUGCACUUUAAAGUGAACCCUGCCAUCUGAAUGGCCCUGCUGUCAUCUGCCCCUAGCUCAUCAGUUAUCGUCUUCA